rnacentral:rRNA from 1 species
UACGUAGGGUGCAAGCGUUAAUCGGAAUUACUGGGCGUAAAGCGCGCGCAGGCGGUCUUUUAAGUCUGAUGUGAAAGCCCACGGCUCGACCGUGGAGGGUCAUUGGAAACUGGGGGGCUUGAGUGCAGGAGAGAAGAGUGGAAUUCCACGUGUAGCGGUGAAAUGCGUAGAGAUGUGGAGGAACACCAGUGGCGAAGGCGACUCUUUGGCCUGUAACUGACGCUGAGGCGCGAAAGCGUGGGGAGCAAACAGG